GACACGGUCCAAACUCCUACGGGAGGCAGCAGUGAGGAAUAUUGGUCAAUGGCCGGAAGGCUGAACCAGCCAAGUCGCGUGAGGGAAUAAGGCCCUAUGGGUCGUAAACCUCUUUUGUCAGGGAGCAAAGGCGUCCACGUGUGGACGAGAGGAGAGUACCUGAAGAAAAAGCAUCGGCUAACUCCGUGCCAGCAGCCGCGGUAAUACGGAGGAUGCGAGCGUUAUCCGGAUUUAUUGGGUUUAAAGGGUGCGUAGGCGGAGUGUCAAGUCAGCGGUAAAAUUUCGGGGCUCAACCCCGUCGUGCCGUUGAAACUGACACCCUUGAGUGAGUGAGAAGUAAGCGGAAUGCGUGGUGUAGCGGUGAAAUGCAUAGAUAUCACGCAGAACGCCGAUUGCGAAGGCAGCUUACCGGCGCUCAACUGACGCUGAGGCACGAAAGUGCGGGUAUCGAACAGGAUUAGAUACCCUGGUAGUCCGCACAGUAAACGAUGAAUGCUAGAUGUCCGGGGCGAAUGAGCUCUGG
rnacentral:rRNA from 1 species